AUGGCCUCUGCAUCAGCUCCUGCUUCCUGACCUGCUUGACUUCUAGUCCUGCAUCCUUUGGUGAUCAACAGCGAUUUGGAAAGUUCUAUUCUCGUCAGAGUGCCUCAGGAGCAGCCGAUAGUCUUCAUGCCUACCCACUGCUGACCACUGCACCCAGCUUCUGCUUACUCUGCAACUGCGAUACCAACAGAAACAUGGGCACUACUAGUCUAUUAAUUACUCCUGUGGAGAACUGGCAAGCUACCUUUGAAGAAACCCUACUUGGUGGAUAACAGACAGAAGACAGAAUAAAGAAAAGAAGGCUGAUGUGGAAUGUGGAGAAGACAAAAAUAAAGAACAGCUGCAGUAAUGAAGAGGCGAUCUGCGAGAGAUGCAAGAGUGAGCUGCACUAUCAGGUCCUCAGCUAAAUGAACUCCAAAGAUCAGGUUCAGGGGAGCACUACCAGAAAAGGCUUACAGCUGCCCAAAUCUAAUCCAAAGGUUCUUAACUCCUCCAGCACCCC
rnacentral:lncRNA from 1 species